GGCGUAGUGGCGGAGUGGUCAACGCGUAGCACUGCUAAUGCUAUUCCCUCGGGAGCCUCAGUUCGAAUCUGAGCUACGUCG